UCUCCCCUGCUGUGUUCGUGAUUAUGGUAUAUUCAGAACCAACACUAAAAAAAGAGGGAACCUUCCCUGACUGUCUGCCGACGGAUUCCACAGACCCGCUGCGCGGGUUAGAUAUGGAAGGGUCGAAUGCAGUUAUAAAAGGUACCCACCUAUCAAAAAUAGGUUUAAUGAAUAGCCCAUUACACGACGCAAAGCGGGGGAGAA
rnacentral:other from 10 species